CAGGGGGCUCAGGUGUAAGCAAUGCAGCUAAAGUGAUCAGUAGGGUCAGAGCCUUGAUCCACCCCUCCUCACCCUCACUUAAGGUUUGGCAGCCAAGGGGGAAAUAUCUCUUUGGAUGGAGAUUGUAUUUCUCUUGAAUUAUUACUAAAUGGUGGAAAGGAUGAGCUAAUUUUUCUUCUUGGUUACCUUCUGUUGUUCUGUGGUACUUGUAGCCUGUUAGGAGGAACUGUUACCAUCUUUCACUCUCACUCGUGAUGAGAGUGGUUGUGAAACAUUUGUUUCUCAGCCAUUUGGAAGGUUACUGAAGGGGAAUGGGUUGUUAUGAAGCUGAGCUGCAAAUGUGGAAACAGAAUACUUGUGAGUGCAGCCUAUCUUAAUACUUAGAGCCUCAAUCACAAAACCAGAUUCACAGAGUUUUUUCAGGUUCCUGUCUGUGCCCAUUCAUGAUGAGUGAGGAAAUAACCACCAGAUAUCUGAUGGCCAGGUGACUUCCUGUUUGGAGGACCUCACACUUCAGCUGGCUAUAAUUAACUUCAAGUUAGCUUAUGAAACUAAACAUGAUGUCUUAAUUUGAUCACCUCCUGAUUAGUCCCUAUCUGAAGGAACACCUUGCCAGUAAUUAGGAUGGCAAUUAGAAUAAAGCAGUUAACUAUAUGGUUCUAAUUUUUCAUCUGGAGAAAACUGUAUGAAGUCUUGUACCUUGAAAAAAAAUAUAAUCAAACAAUAACAAACAGAUACUUUUCUGGUAGAAGUCGUUAGAAGAUAAAGCAUACAAGUGAGUUAACUUGUAUACAUUUAGCUACUCACCUCACAAAGGUAAUUAAUAUUUUAAUUAUUGAAAUCAGAAGGAGUAUUUGCAUACAGAGAAAGGAUUGAGAAGUUUU
ensembl:lncRNA